UACAGAGGGGGCAAGCGUUAUUCGGAUUCACUGGGUUUAAAGGGUGCGUAGGUGGGCAGGUAAGUCCGUGGUGAAAUCCCUGAGCUUAACUCGGGAACUGCCAUGGAUACUAUUUGUCUUGAAUAUUGUGGAGGUAAGCGGAAUAUGUCAUGUAGCGGUGAAAUGCUUAGAUAUGACAUAGAACACCAAUUGCGAAGGCAGCUCACUACACAAAUAUUGACGCUGAGGCACGAAAGCGUGGGGAUCAAACAGG
rnacentral:rRNA from 1 species